AUUGAACGCUGGCGGCAGGCCUAACACAUGCAAGUCGAACGAGUGGCGGACGGGUGAGUAAUGUCUGGGAAACUGCCUGAUGGAGGGGGAUAACUACUGGAAACGGUAGCUAAUACCGCAUACCAUCAGAUGUGCCCCGAUGGGAUUAGCUAGUUGGUGGGGUAACGGCUCACCAAGGCGACGAUCCCUAGCUGGUCUGAGAGGAUGACCAGCCACACUGGAACGGAGACACGGUCCAGACUACUACGGGAGGCAGAAGUGGGGAAUAUUGCACAAGGGGCGAAAGCCUGAUGCAGCAAUGCCGCGGGUAUGAAGAAGGGCUUCGGGUUGUAAAGUACUGGCAGAGGGGAGGCGGUAACAGAAGAAGAAGCACCGGCUAACGACGUGCCAGCAGCCGCGGUAAUAC
rnacentral:rRNA from 1 species